AACGAACGCUGGCGGCAGGCCUAACACAUGCAAGUCGAGCGAGGACUUCGGUUCUAGCGGCGGACGGGUGAGUAACGCGUGGGAAUGUGCCCUUCUCUACGGAAUAGCCCUGGGAAACUGGGAGUAAUACCGUAUACGCCCUAUUGGGGAAAGAUUUAUCGGAGAAGGAUCAGCCCGCGUUGGAUUAGGUAGUUGGUGGGGUAACGGCCUACCAAGCCGACGAUCCAUAGCUGGUUUGAGAGGAUGAUCAGCCACACUGGGACUGAGACACGGCCCAGACUCCUACGGGAGGCAGCAGUGGGGAAUCUUAGACAAUGGGGGCAACCCUGAUCUAGCCAUGCCGCGUGAGUGAUGAAGGCCUUAGGGUUGUAAAGCUCUUUCAGCUGGGAAGAUAAUGACGGUACCAGCAGAAGAAGCCCCGGCUAACUCCGUG
rnacentral:rRNA from 1 species